rnacentral:rRNA from 1 species
UACGGAGGGAGCUAGCGUUGUUCGGAAUUACUGGGCGUAAAGCGCACGCAGGCGGCUUUGUAAGUCAGUGGUGAAAGCCUGGAGCUCAACUCCAGAACUGCCUUUGAGACUGCAUCACUUGAAUCCAGGAGAGGUGAGUGGAAUUCCGAGUGUAGAGGUGAAAUUCGUAGAUAUUCGGAAGAACACCAGUGGCGAAGGCGGCUCACUGGACUGGUAUUGACGCUGAGGUGCGAAAGCGUGGGGAGCAAACAGG